UACAGAGGGUGCGAGCGUUAAUCGGAAUUACUGGGCGUAAAGCGUGCGUAGACGGUUUCGUAAGUCGGGUGUGAAAUCCCCGGGCUCAACCUGGGAAUUGCAUUCGAAACUGCGAGGCUAGGGUACGGAAGAGGGAAGCGGAAUUUCUGGUGUAGCGGUGAAAUGCGUAGAUAUCAGAAGGGACAUCAGUGGCGAAAGCGGCGCACUGGACCAUUACUGACGCUGAUGCACGAAAGCUAGGGGAGCAAACAGG
rnacentral:rRNA from 1 species